UAGGGAAUCUUCCGCAAUGGGCGAAAGCCUGACGGAGCAACGCCGCGUGAGUGAUGAAGGUCUUCGGAUCGUAAAACUCUGUUAUUAGGGAAGAACAAAUGUGUAAGUAACUAUGCACGUCUUGACGGUACCUAAUCAGAAAGCCACGGCUAACUACGUGCCAGCAGCCGCGGUAAUACGUAGGUGGCAAGCGUUAUCCGGAAUUAUUGGGCGUAAAGCGCGCGUAGGCGGUUUUUUAAGUCUGAUGUGAAAGCCCACGGCUCAACCGUGGAGGGUCAUUGGAAACUGGAAAACUUGAGUGCAGAAGAGGAAAGUGGAAUUCCAUGUGUAGCGGUGAAAUGCGCAGAGAUAUGGAGGAAAACCAGUGGCGAAGGCGACUUUCUGGUCUGUAACUGACGCUGAUGUGCGAAAGCGUGGGGAUCAAACAGG
rnacentral:rRNA from 1 species